UGCGUGUGUGUGUGUGUGUGUGUGUGUGUAUGUAGGUCUGGUGACGGUGGAGUGAACACAGUAAGAUCAAACCUGGAGCACAAAUCAGAUGACAAGACAGAGGUGUGUGUGUCCUCUCAGCAUGGCGGUUCUCAUGUGGUUCAGAUCAGAAGACCGAUGGGUCGCAGAGGCGGAUCUCAGCGAGUGUGGAGAUGAUUUUACUCUUCUCAUUUAUUCAUUUAAUAAAAUGUAAUGAAUUUAAUGUAUUUUCGUAUGUUUUAAAAUAUUUGAAAUAAAAACUCUUACUGGACUUUAAAGUAA